rnacentral:rRNA from 1 species
GACGAACGCUGGCGGCGUGCCUAAUACAUGCAAGUAGAACGCUGAAGGAGGAGCUUGCUCUUCUGGAUGAGUUGCGAACGGGUGAGUAACGCGUAGGUAACCUGCCUGGUAGCGGGGGAUAACUAUUGGAAACGAUAGCUAAUACCGCAUAACAGUAGAUGUUGCAUGACAUUUACUUAAAAGGUGCAAUUGCAUCACUACCAGAUGGACCUGCGUUGUAUUAGCUAGUUGGUGGGGUAACGGCUCACCAAGGCGAUGAUACAUAGCCGACCUGAGAGGGUGAUCGGCCACACUGGGACUGAGACACGGCCCAGACUCCUACGGGAGGCAGCAGUAGGGAAUCUUCGGCAAUGGACGGAAGUCUGACCGAGCAACGCCGCGUGAGUGAAGAAGGUUUUCGGAUCGUAAAGCUCUGUUGUAAGAGAAGAACGAGUGUGAGAGUGGAAAGUUCACACUGUGACGGUAUCUUACCAGAAAGGGACGGCUAACUACGUG